GACGAACGCUGGCGGCGUGCUUAACACAUGCAAGUCGAACGGAAAGGCCCUGCUUUUGUGGGGUGCUCGAGUGGCGAACGGGUGAGUAACACGUGAGUAACCUGCCCUUGACUUUGGGAUAACUUCAGGAAACUGGGGCUAAUACCGGAUAGGAGCUCCUGCUGCAUGGUGGGGGUUGGAAAGUUUCGGCGGUUGGGGAUGGACUCGCGGCUUAUCAGCUUGUUGGUGGGGUAGUGGCUUACCAAGGCUUUGACAGGUAGCCGGCCUGAGAGGGUGACCGGCCACAUUGGGACUGAGAUACGGCCCAGACUCCUACGGGAGGCAGCAGUGGGGAAUAUUGCACAAUGGGCGGAAGCCUGAUGCAGCAACGCCCCGUGCGGGAUGACGGCCUUCGGGUUGUAAACCGCUUUCGCCUGUGACGAAGCGUGAGUGACGGUAAUGGGUAAAGAAGCACCGGCUAACUACGUG
rnacentral:rRNA from 1 species